GUGAACGCUGGCGGUAGGCCUAACACAUGCAAGUCGCACGGCAGCACAGUAAGAGCUUGCUCUUCCGGGUGGCGAGUGGCGGACGGGUGAGGAAUACAUCGGAAUCUACUUUUUCGUGGGGGAUAACGUAGGGAAACUUACGCUAAUACCGCAUACGACCUACGGGUGAAAGCAGGGGAUCUUCGGACCUUGCGCGAUUGAAUGAGCCGAUGUCGGAUUAGCUAGUUGGCGGGGUAAAGGCCCACCAAGGCGACGAUCCGUAGCUGGUCUGAGAGGAUGAUCAGCCACACUGGAACUGAGACACGGUCCAGACUCCUACGGGAGGCAGCAGUGGGGAAUAUUGGACAAUGGGCGCAAGCCUGAUCCAGCCAUACCGCGUGGGUGAAGAAGGCCUUCGGGUUGUAAAGCCCUUUUGUUGGGAAAGAAAAGCAGCAGGUUAAUACCCCGCUGUUCUGACGGUACCCAAAGAAUAAGCACCGGCUAACUUCGUG
rnacentral:rRNA from 1 species